AAAAUCCUAAUCAUAUACGUUUAACCAAGUCGUAGCAACCAAGCCUAAUCGCAAAGAACCUUAUUUUCUCAACCUUGCAGCCAUUACAUCUCAACCCUCGCCGCCAUCGCCACCAUCGUUACACCUCGCCGCCAUCGCCACCACUGUCACACCCCGCCGCCAUCGUCACCACCAUCACAACUUCGCGGUCUUCGUCACUCUUGCGUAUGAGCUUCGCGACAUUCUCGACUAUAGAUUUCUCUUGCAAAUUACAGUGUUUUCCUGAUAUUGGAGUCUAUUAUCAAGUUGAAGAAAGCCAAAGAGUUCUGACAUUGUCGCCAUUGCUACUUGGAUAGAGGUGACAGGGUUGCAAUGGAAGAUAAAGUAGAGCAUAAGUUUGAUAUGAAGGCACGACACGAAAACAUUGAAGAAUAUGGAAAAUUGUGUAGGGAGAGGACAAACAAAUCUUUGAUUAAAAAUUGACAGAUAUAGGUUAUUAAAAAUGAUCAUAGACUUCUAAUGAAGCCAAUGCCUGGAAUGGUUGGUUUAAUUUCAUCCAGUUCAAAGUUUUCUGAUGUUGAAGUCUAUUGUCAAGUUGAAGGAGCCAAAGAGUUUUGAAAUUGCUACCUGCAUAGAGAAAAUGGACUAGAGUGAAUAUCAAGAGUUAUAGCACUUCAGUUACAAAGUUCUGGAUUAAAUGGUCAAAUCCCACACAACACUCUUAGUUAACUCAUUGCACUUCAGAAUUUGAGUCUUGAAUGAAUUGUUGCAAAGACAGGAGCAAGAAAAGUUGUUGAUGAAGCAACAAUUGCAACAACAAGGAAAGAAGAUAGAUGAUUUGACAUUGAUAGUAAUCAUAUUAAGUAGUAUUUGUUUUUAUUUUGUUAACUUGGUUAUAUAAUGUAGUUGCUACAUAGUUUUUUUUUGGAUCUUGUUGUAAUUAAUAUUUAGUUAUGAUUUCCAAACAUGAUAUUUAUAAUUAUGAUUUUGGAUUAUGAUUUUGGAUCU